rnacentral:rRNA from 1 species
AGAGUUUGAUCAUGGCUCAGGAUGAACGCUAGCUACAGGCUUAACACAUGCAAGUCAGGGGCAGCAUGAUCUUAGCUUGCUAAGAUUGAUGGCGACCGGCGCACGGGUGAGUAACGCGUAUCCAACCUUCCCCUUAGUAGGGCAUAGCCCGUAGAAAUGCGGAUUAAUACCCUAUGUUGUAUAUUGAGGACAUCUGAUUUAUACCAAAGGUUUACCGCUAAGGGAUGGGGAUGCGUCUGAUUAGGUUGUUGGCGGGUAACGGCCACCAAGCCGACGAUCAGUAGGGGUUCUGAGAGGAAGGUCCCCCACAUUGGAACUGAGACACGGUCCAAACUCCUACGGGAGGCAGCAGUGAGGAAUAUUGGUCAAUGGACGAGAGUCUGAGCCAGCCAAGUAAGCGUGCAGGAUGACGGCCCUAUGGGUUGUAAACUGCUUUUAUACGGGGAUAAAGUGAGGGACGUGUCCCUUUUUGUAGGUACCGUAUGAAUAAGGACCGGCUAAUUCCGUGCCAGCAGCCGC